UGGGGAAUAUCGGACAAUGGGCGCAAGCCUGAUCCAGCAAUGCCGCGUGUGUGAAGAAGGCCUUCGGGUUGUAAAGCACUUUUGUCCGGAAAGAAAUCCUCUGGGUUAAUACCUCGGGGGGAUGACGGUACCGGAAGAAUAAGCACCGGCUAACUACGUGCCAGCAGCCGCGGUAAUACGUAGGGUGCAAGCGUUAAUCGGAAUUACUGGGCGUAAAGCGUGCGCAGGCGGUUUUGUAAGACGGAUGUGAAAUCCCCCGGGCUUAACCUGGGAACUGCAUUCGUGACUGCAAGGCUAGAGUAUGGCAGAGGGGGGUAGAAUUCCACGUGUAGCAGUGAAAUGCGUAGAGAUGUGGAGGAAUACCGAUGGCGAAGGCAGCCCCCUGGGCCAAUACUGACGCUCAUGCACGAAAGCGUGGGGGAGCAAACAGGAUUAGAUACCCUGGUAGUCCACGCCCUAAACGAUGUCAACUAGUUGUUGGGGAUUCAUUUCCUUAGUAACGUAGCUAACGCGUGAAGUUGACCGCCUGGGGAGUACGGUCGCAAGAUUAAAACUCAAAUGAAUUGACGGGGUCAUAGCUGUUUCC
rnacentral:rRNA from 1 species